rnacentral:tRNA from 1 species
GGGUGCGUAGCUCAGUGGCAGAGCGCCGGUUUCAUACGCCGGUCGUCGCAGGUUCGAGUCCUGCCGUCCCCACCG